CUACUGCCCUCCACCGUGGCUGGUACCUGGAUAAGCCCUAUCUCAGUUCCUGCAUUGCCUGGGGCUGGGGAUUUUUGCUUCUGUGUUUUGUUUUGGAGUUGGUGGGAUGGGGUUUUUUUUAUUGUUUUGGUUUUUUUUUGUUGUUGUUGCUGUUGUUUCUUUUUUUUUUUUUUUUUUAAAGAAAGAUGAAAAGCAUCCUAAAGAGAGCGAUACUGUAUCGCCCCGGCAUCGACGCCGUUCCUCGGAGGCGAGAGGCGCGCGGAGGAAACUCCAUGAGAAAUGAAGCUUGGGAAGGAGCUCAUGAAGCCAGCUAAUCUGUCGCACAGCUCCAGGAGAGGGUUACCUGCAGCAAAGGGGGCUUUAGGAGCCCUUUUCCUUCUUGGAAAGUGUGGUGAGAAGCUCUGCAUGAGCCAGCCCUGGGGAUAAAAGCCCUCAUCCCGCUGUGUUCCCACCUCCGUGUAGCUCCUCUGGAGAGAAAGUCCAUAUUCCAUGUCUGAGGAGUAGACACUCUUAGCUAUAAAAAGGCUUCUGACCUACAGGGAGGCAUCUAUUUGUUUUUCUGUUGUGUGGGAAGACGGGGACGUGAAGUAGUCAUUUGCCAGACAAAAUCAGCUCCAGAAUCCAAACCCUUCUACAAUCGGAGACCAGAAGCCAGAUGAGAAACUUAUUCAAGCAAGCGUUCUUGUGUAAUGUCUCUGCCCAGAGAGGGUAUGACGAUGGUUUCAUCUGAAUAUUUUGCAAGUGUGAAACAAUAAUGUUACUAAAGUUACCCUUUGUAACACUGAUCUUGUUAUUUUAAUUUUUUUUUUUCCCCAGGAUGGACUGAAUUCAGUCAUUAAUGGAUUUCUAGGUUGAAGGAGCCUAGAGGAGAGCUGGAGAAGGGACUCUUUGUCAGGAAGUGUAGUGACAGGACAAGGGGUAAUGGUUUUAAAUUGGAAGAGGGGAGAUUUAGAUUAGAUACCAGAAAGAAAUUCUUUACUGUGAGGGUGGUGAGACCCUGGAACAGGUUGCCCAGAGAAGCUGUGGCUGCCCCAUCCCUGGAGGGGUUCAAGGCCAGGUUGGAGGGGGCUUGGAGCAACCUGGUCUGGUGGGAGGUGUCUCUGUCCAGGGCAGAGGGGUUGAACUAGAUGGUCUUUAACAUCCCUUCCAACUCAAACCAUUCUAUGAUUCUUUGAUCCAAACCACCUUGGAGGCAUCAUUGACACUUCAUCGUUGAUGCCCAAAGACGUGACCAUCUCGGGCAAGGUGGAACCAGACCCGUUGCUAUGUUGGUUCUUCCGGAC
rnacentral:lncRNA from 1 species